rnacentral:rRNA from 1 species
CGCAGUUAACGCGAUAAGUCGACCGCCUGGGGAGUACGGCCGCAAGGUUAAAACUCAAAUGAAUUGACGGGGGCCCGCACAAGCGGUGGAGCAUGUGGUUUAAUUCGAUGCAACGCGAAGAACCUUACCUACUCUUGACAUCGAGCGAACUUUCCAGAGAUGGAUUGGUGCCUUCGGGAACGCUCAGACAGGUGCUGCAUGGCCGUCGUCAGCUCGUGUUGUGAAAUGUUGGGUUAAGUCCCGUAACGAGCGCAACCCUUGUCCCUAUUUGCCAGCGAUUCGGUCGGGAACUCUAGGGAGACUGCCGGUGACAAACCGGAGGAAGGUGGGGACGACGUCAGGUCAUCAUGGCCCUUAC